GACGAACGCUGGCGGCGUGCUUAACACAUGCAAGUCGAACGGAAAGGCCCUGCUUUUGUGGGGUGCUCGAGUGGCGAACGGGUGAGUAACACGUGAGUAACCUGCCCUUGACUUUGGGAUAACUUCAGGAAACUGGGGCUAAUACCGGAUAGGAGCUCCUGCUGCAUGGUGGGGGUUGGACAGUUUCGGCGGUUGGGGAUGGACUUGGGGCUUAUCAGCUUGUUGGGGGGGUAGUGGCUUACAUAGGCUUUGACGGGUAGCCGGCCUGAGAGGGUGACCGGCCACAUUGGGACUGAGAUACGGCGCAGAAUCCUAGGGGAGGCAGCAGUGGGGAAUAUUGCAAAAUGGGCGGAAGCCUGAUGCAGCAACGCCGCGUGCGGGAUGACGGCCUUCGGGUAGUAAACCGCUUUCGCCUGUGACGAAGCGUGAGUGACGGUAAUGGGUAAAGAAGCACCGGCUAACUACGUG
rnacentral:rRNA from 1 species